ACUGGACCCAACUGGACCCAACUGGAUCUAUGUGGACCUGCAGCUGGACUCACCUGGGCGUGUACUCCAGGUGGGAGUGGAUCUGGUAGUACCAAUCAGCGUCUGGCAUCUCCUCUGUGGAACUGACAUCAGAGAGUUGAAUUGAGUUUAAAGAGUCAAACACUUACCUUCUGCAGGGACACAGAGGACAGAGGAGAGGAUGAGGAGCAGCUCCGACACCUUCAUGACCUUCAUCAUCAUCUUCAUCAUCACUCUGACAGACUCUGAAACACUCUGACUGACAGUCAGCAGCAACUGAGCUCUUACACACAGCUCAGCCAAUCACAGAGCAGAGAUCCCAUGAUUUCAUCAGUGUCCAGAAGGAGGACUGUGGAUUUAGUCCUCCAUCACUUCCAUUGUAAACAUGAUGAAGGGAUCUUCUAAUGGCAGCAGUCUGUCCUCACAGCAGACGCUCGCUGACCCCGGUGGUCGUGGUUGGAAGUGCAGAGAAUCAGAAGAAAAGAUGAACAGCUGUGAUAGAAAACGUUCAACAUGUGACUGAAUGAAUCCGGUCUGAUUCCACUCAGGUAGAAACCCUGCAGGACAGGUGAGACCUUCAGGUGAGUCGUCCAAUCAGAGAAAAGAUCAGCUGAAACCAACAGGACACAGUUUCAUAAACAGCUGUGAUUAUAAUCUAAUGAAGCCAGAGGAACAAGUGCAGCAGGUUCCUCUUUUUAAGCCUUCAUGAGCUGACUCACCUGAUCACCUGCUCACCUGUUCACCUGAUCACCUGCUCACCUGUUCACCUGUUCACCUGUUCACCUGAGCUCUGAUACACUGAUACACUGAUGUACUGAUGUACUGCAGAGUCCAGCCUGUACUGUAGAGAGACACACACACACACACACACACACACACACACACACACACACACACACACACACUGUACUGUAGAGACACACACACACACACACACACUGUAGAUACACACACUGUAGAUACACAUACACACACACACACACACACACACAAACAAACGCACACACACACUGUACUGUAGAUACACACACUGUAGAUACACACACACAAACACCGUACUGUAGAC